AGGUAUUGCGCUGAUUAUCGAUGAGAACUAUGUAUAUACAAUCGGAUGUGUCUGUGAAAAUGAUUUAUAUGUCAAGUGUCAUAGAAAAAUGUGAAGAGGAAGUGAAYAAGUGAAAUUGUGAAUGUGUUAAGUGAAAAAAAAAUUAAAAAAGUAGUGUGAUAUUGCAACGUGUAUGGAAAUAUCGCUGCAGAAUAUGGGAAUCGAUUACAUAAAAUUAGGAAAGUGGAUUCAGAACAGCAUGCCUAUCGGAAACUAGAGCGUAUUUCUUUCCAGUAAAAUGAAAGCGGUCAGAGAGGUGAAAAAAUCCAGUUCUACACGCUAAAUUUAUCACUAACAGCUUCAAUAAUAGCCUUAAAAUCUUGGGAACUGCUUAUUCGAUGCCAGAGACAGGCUCCAAUUAACAUUUUGCAACCUUCAUUCUCGAUUUACUAUAGAAAAAGGUUGUCGGAGACUUCAACAAGUUAAAUUAUGUAUCAAUCAGGAUGAAGCUCCUUCCGAAACCAUUAUUUUUAUGAUCUGAACUGGCUUGUGAUGUGGUCUACACUGCAGAUAUUUGGAUUUUGGGAACAAAAAGAAGUCACAUCUCACUAAAAGCGGCAAUAAAGCAAGAGUCAACAAUGAGUUUUGAUGUGGAAACAACACUUUUGCAGCUUUAAACGAUAUUCUGAAGCCAAUUAAAUUUGGAUCAUAAAUAUGUUGGGACUGUGUAUUGUCAUUCAUUUUCAAAAUAAUUCUAAAAGAAAUGUAUAUUAUGUUUAUAAAAAAUAUAGGUGUUUAUUAAUAUUUUAAAAAAGGCUUUGUACGAGCAUA